UCAAAAUUUUAAGACCCAUAU
rnacentral:piRNA from 1 species